GAGGCGAACCGGGGGAACUGAAACAUCUAAGUACCCCGAGGAAAAGAAAUCAACCGAGAUUCCGAAAGUAGCGGCGAGCGAAAUUGGACUAGCCCUUAAGCUUUACACGCGUUAGACGAACGGUCUGGAAAGUCCGACGAUACAGGGUGAUAGUCCCGUAGUUGACGACGUGUGUUCAGUGAAAUCGAGUAGGGCGGGACACGUGAUAUCCUGUCUGAAUAUGGGGGGACCAUCCUCCAAGGCUAAAUACUACUGACUGACCGAUAGUGAACCAGUACCGUGAGGGAAAGGCGAAAAGAACCCCUGUGAGGGGAGUGAAAUAGAACCUGAAACCGUGUACGUACAAGCAGUAGGAGCAGGCUUUGUCCUGUGACUGCGUACCUUUUGUAUAAUGGGUCAGCGACUUAUAUUCAGUGGCAAGGUUAACCAUCUAGGGGAGCCGUAGGGAAACCGAGUCUUAACUGGGCGUUCAGUCUCUGGAUAUAGACCCGAAACCAGGUGAUCUAGCCAUGGGCAGGUUGAAGGUUGAGUAACAUCAACUGGAGGACCGAACCGACUAAUGUUGAAAAAUUAGCGGAUGACUUGUGGCUAGGGGUGAAAGGCCAAUCAAACCUGGAGAUAGCUGGUUCUCCCCGAAAGCUAUUUAGGUAGCGCCUCGGACGAAUACUACUGGGGGUAGAGCACUGUUAAGGCUAGGGGGUCAUCCCGACUUACCAACCCUUUGCAAACUCCGAAUACCAGUAAGUACUAUCCGGGAGACACACGGCGGGUGCUAACGUCCGUCGUGGAGAGGGAAACAACCCAGACCGCCAGCUAAGGUCCCAAAUUACUACUAAGUGGGAAACGAUGUGGGAAGGCUCAGACAGCCAGGAUGUUGGCUUAGAAGCAGCCAUCAUUUAAAGAAAGCGUAAUAGCUCACUGGUCGAGUCGGCCUGCGCGGAAGAUGUAACGGGGCUAAGUAGUAAACCGAAGCUGCGGCAAUACUCUUUGAGUAUUGGGUAGGGGAGCGUUCUGUAAGCGGUUGAAGGUGUGUGGUAACGCAUGCUGGACGUAUCAGAAGUGCGAAUGCUGACAUGAGUAACGAUAAAGGGGGUGAAAAACCUCCUCGCCGGAAGACCAAGGGUUCCUGUCCAACGUUAAUCGGGGCAGGGUAAGUCGACCCCUAAGGCGAGGCCGAAAGGCGUAGUCGAUGGGAAACGGGUUAAUAUUCCCGUACUUCUUACAAUUGCGAUGGGGGGACGGAGAAGGCUAGGUGGGCCUGGCGACGGUUGUCCAGGUUCAAGUGCGUAGGCUUAAGAGUUAGGUAAAUCCGGCUCUUUCUAAGGCUGAGACACGACGUCGAGCACCUACGGGUGUGAAGUCAUUGAUGCCAUGCUUCCAGGAAAAGCCUCUAAGCUUCAGAUUGUAAGGAAUCGUACCCCAAACCGACACAGGUGGUCGGGUAGAGAAUACCAAGGCGCUUGAGAGAACUCGGGUGAAGGAACUAGGCAAAAUGGUACCGUAACUUCGGGAGAAGGUACGCUCUCGACGGUGAAGUCCCUCGCGGAUGGAGCUAUUGAGAGUCGCAGAUACCAGGUGGCUGCAACUGUUUAUUAAAAACACAGCACUGUGCAAAAUCGUAAGAUGACGUAUACGGUGUGACGCCUGCCCGGUGCCGGAAGGUUAAUUGAUGGGGUUAGACUUCGGUCGAAGCUCUUGAUCGAAGCCCCGGUAAACGGCGNCAACUGUUUAUUAAAAACACAGCACUGUGCAAAAUCGUAAGAUGACGUAUACGGUGUGACGCCUGCCCGGUGCCGGAAGGUUAAUUGAUGGGGUUAGACUUCGGUCGAAGCUCUUGAUCGAAGCCCCGGUAAACGGCGGCCGUAACUAUAACGGUCCUAAGGUAGCGAAAUUCCUUGUCGGGUAAGUUCCGACCUGCACGAAUGGCGUAAUGAUGGCCACGCUGUCUCCACCCGAGACUCAGUGAAAUUGAAAUCGCUGUGAAGAUGCAGUGUACCCGCGGCUAGACGGAAAGACCCCGUGAACCUUUACUACAGCUUGGCACUGAACAUUGACCCUACAUGUGUAGGAUAGGUGGGAGGCUUUGAAGCACGUACGCCAGUAUGUGUGGAGCCGUCCUUGAAAUACCACCCUUGUAGUGUUGAUGUUCUAACGUCGACCCCUAAUCGGGGUUGCGGACAGUGCCUGGUGGGUAGUUUGACUGGGGCGGUCUCCUCCCAAAGAGUAACGGAGGAGCACGAAGGUGGGCUAAUCACGGUUGGACAUCGUGAGGUUAGUGCAAUGGCAUAAGCCCGCUUGACUGCGAGAAUGACAAUUCGAGCAGGUGCGAAAGCAGGUCAUAGUGAUCCGGUGGUUCUGAAUGGAAGGGCCAUCGCUCAACGGAUAAAAGGUACUCCGGGGAUAACAGGCUGAUACCGCCCAAGAGUUCAUAUCGACGGCGGUGUUUGGCACCUCGAUGUCGGCUCAUCACAUCCUGGGGCUGAAGUCGGUCCCAAGGGUAUGGCUGUUCGCCAUUUAAAGUGGUACGCGAGCUGGGUUUAGAACGUCGUGAGACAGUUCGGUCCCUAUCUGCCGUGGGCGUUGGAAGAUUGAAGGGGGCUGCUCCUAGUACGAGAGGACCGGAGUGGACGAACCUCUGGUGUUCGGGUUGUGUCGCCAGACGCAUUGCCCGGUAGCUAAGUUCGGAAUCGAUAACCGCUGAAAGCAUCUAAGCGGGAAGCGAGCCCUGAGAUGAGUCUUCCCUGAUACUUUAAGUAUCCUAAAGGGUUGUCGGAGACUACGACGUUGAUAGGUCAGGUGUGUAAGUGCUGUGAGGCAUUGAGCUAACUGAUACUAAUUGCCCGUGAGGCUUAACCAU
rnacentral:rRNA from 1 species